rnacentral:rRNA from 1 species
GAUGAACGCUGGCGGCGUGCCUAAUACAUGCAAGUCGAGCGAACAGACGAGGAGCUUGCUCCUCUGACGUUAGCGGCGGACGGGUGUGUAACACGUGGAUAACCUACCUAUAAGACUGGGAUAACUUCGGGAAUCCGGCUCUAAUACCGUAUAAUAUAUUGAACCGCAUGGUUCAAUAGUGAAAGACGGCUUUUCUGUCACUUCUAGAUGGAUCCGGGCUGCAUGAGCUAGUUGGUAAGGUAACGGCUUACCAAGGCGACGAUGCGUAACCGACCUGCGAGGGUGGUCGGCCACACUGGAACUGAGACACGGUCCAGACUCCUGCGGGAGGCAGCAGUAGGGAAUCGUCCGCAAUGGGCGAGAGCCUGACAGAGCGACGCCGCGUGAGUGAUGAAGGUCUUCGGAUCGUAAAACUCUGUUAUUAGGGAAAAACAAAUGUGUAAGUAACUAUGCACGUCUUGACGGUACCUGAUCAGAAAGCCACGGCUAACUACGUG